AUUGAACGCUGGCGGCAGGCCUAACACAUGCAAGUCGAGCGGGGUUUUCGGACCUAGCGGCGGACGGGUGAGUAAUGCGUAGGAAGCUACCCGAUAGAGGGGGAUACCAGUUGGAAACGACUGUUAAUACCGCAUAAUGUCUACGGACCAAAGUGUGGGACCUUCGGGCCACAUGCUAUCGGAUGCGCCUACGUGGGAUUAGCUAGUUGGGGGGGUAAUGGCUAACCAAGGCGACGAUCCCUAGCUGGUUAGAGAGGAUGAUCAGCCACACUGGAACUGAGACACGGUCCAGACUCCUACGGGAGGCAGCAGUGGGGAAUAUUGGACAAUGGUAGCAAGCCUGAUCCAGCCAUGCCGCGUGUGUGAAGAAGGCCUUCGAGUUGUAAAGCACUUUCAGUAGGGAGGAAGGGUUAAGUGUUAAUAGUACUUAACUUUGACGUUACCUACAGAGGAAGCACCGGCUAACUCUGUGCCAGCCGCCGCCGUAAUAC
rnacentral:rRNA from 1 species